rnacentral:rRNA from 1 species
UUAGAUACCCUUGUAGUCCACACGGUAAACGAUGAAUACUCGCUGUUUGCGAUAUACAGCAAGCGGCCAAGCGAAAGCGUUAAGUAUUCCACCUGGGGAGUACGCCGGCAACGGUGAAACUCAAAGGAAUUGACGGGGGCCCGCACAAGCGGAGGAACAUGUGGUUUAAUUCGAUGAUACGCGAGGAACCUUACCCGGGCUUAAAUUGCAUUUGAAUAAUCUGGAAACAGGUUAGCCGCAAGGCAGAUGCGAAGGUGCUGCAUGGUUGUCGUCAGCUCGUGCCGUGAGGUGUCGGCUUAAGUGCCAUAACGAGCGCAACCCUUGUCUAUAGUUACUAACAGGUCAUGCUGAGGACUCUAUGGAGACUGCCAUCGUAAGAUGUGAGGAAGGUGGGGAUGA